CUCCCAGGGCCCCAGGCUGGGCCUGCUCCGAGCUCCCAGAGCUCAGGGGCCCGUCUUUUGGUGUGGAAACUGCUCCAGGGCUGUGCCCAGGUCUUCCCUUCCCAGAGGGACCUUUCACCUUGGGGGCUAGUUAGCAUCUGAGGCUGGGAGCGGCAGGUACUGUCCUGAGGACAUGUCAGUGGGCUCCUGGCCAGCAGCAGCCCUCCAGGGAGCCCGACCAGGCUGAGCCACAGGUGGCAGGAGCGCCGCAGUAUGGCCGGCAUGGUGGGACACGUGCCUUCAGGGGUCCUCUGGGGCCACCUUCCUCAGGCGUGCUUGGUUCAAAGGGCUGUGGGCUCUGGGCCUCUCCAGGCCGGUGGGGUGUGUGCGUGUGUCUUGUCUGUGUGCCGUGAAUAAGACCUGUCUACCUCCCAGGAGGAGCAAGGGCCCUGCCCGACCCUCUUGGCUCAUUCUUAUCUAGGAAGUGGGGCUCAGGGUCACUUCUGCCCAGCCCUUCUGCCCCUGCCACAUGGGCCUCGCUGACGGGGUUUCCUCGCUGCAGGAGAGGGGGUGGCUGUGUGUCGACGAAGGUUGCACCUCUACACUGAGGAAGAUGGGCA